CAGAGGGUGCAAGCGUUGUUCGGAAUUACUGGGCGUAAAGCGCGCGCAGGCGGAUCCUGUAAGUCGGAAGCGAAAUUUCGGAGCUCAACUCCGAAGCUGCUUCUGAUACUGCGGAUCUGGAGAUCGGUAGAGGUCGGUAGAAUUACAGGUGUAGCGGUGGAAUGCGUAGGUAUCUGUAAGAAUACCCGUGGCGAAGGCGGCCGACUGGGCCGGAUCUGACGCUGAGGCGCGAAAGCGUGGGGAGCAAACAGGAUUAGAUACCCUGGUAGUCCACGCCGUAAACGAUGGGCACUAGGUGCCGGGGGGAGCGACCCCUUCGGUGCCGCAGCUAACGCGAUAAGUGCCCCGCCUGGGGAGUACGGCCGCAAGGCUG
rnacentral:rRNA from 1 species